GCUCCCUGGUGGCGAGCGGCGGACGGGUGAGUAAUGCAUAGGAAUCUGCCCGGUAGUGGGGGAUAACGUGGGGAAACCCACGCUAAUACCGCAUACGUCCUACGGGAGAAAGCGGAGGAUCUUCGGACUUCGCGCUAUCGGAUGAGCCUAUGUCGGAUUAGCUAGUUGGUAAGGUAACGGCUUACCAAGGCGACGAUCCGUAGCUGGUCUGAGAGGAUGAUCAGCCACACUGGGACUGAGACACGGCCCAGACUCCUACGGGAGGCAGCAGUGGGGAAUAUUGGACAAUGGGCGAAAGCCUGAUCCAGCCAUGCCGCGUGUGUGAAGAAGGCUUUCGGGUUGUAAAGCACUUUCAGCGAGGAAGAAAGCCUUUGGGUUAAUACCCCAGAGGAAGGACAUCACUCGCAGAAGAAGCACCGGCUAACUCCGUGCCAGCAGCCGCGGUAAUACGGAGGGUGCGAGCGUUAAUCGGAAUUACUGGGCGUAAAGCGCGCGUAGGUGGCUUGGCACGCCGGUUGUGAAAGCCCCGGGCUCAACCUGGGAACGGCAUCCGGAACGGCCAGGCUAGAGUGCAGGAGAGGAAGGUAGAAUUCCCGGUGUAGCGGUGAAAUGCGUAGAGAUCGGGAGGAAUACCAGUGGCGAAGGCGGCC
rnacentral:rRNA from 1 species